rnacentral:rRNA from 1 species
UCUUAGUGGCGGACGGGUGAGUAACGCGUGGGGAACCUGCCCUGUACAGGGGGAUAACACUUAGAAAUAGGUGCUAAUACCGCAUAAGCGCACGGAGCCGCAUGGCGCUGAGUGAAAAACGAUAGUGGUAUAGGAGGGACCCGCGUCUGAUUAGGUAGUUGGUGAGGUAACGGCCCACCAAGCCGACGAUCAGUAGCCGACCUGAGAGGGUGACCGGCCACAUUGGGACUGAGACACGGCCCAAACUCCUACGGGAGGCAGCAG